rnacentral:rRNA from 1 species
UACGUAGGGUGCAAGCGUUGUCCGGAAUUAUUGGGCGUAAAGAGCUCGUAGGCGGUCUGUCACGUCGGAUGUGAAAACUCGGGGCUCAACUCCGAGCCUGCAUUCGAUACGGGCAGACUUGAGUUCGGCAGGGGAGACUGGAAUUCCUGGUGUAGCGGUGAAAUGCGCAGAUAUCAGGAGGAACACCGGUGGCGAAGGCGGGUCUCUGGGCCGAUACUGACGCUGAGGAGCGAAAGCGUGGGGAGCGAACAGG